GCGCCCUUAGCUCAGUUGGAUAGAGCAGAUGCCUUCUAAGCAUCAGGUCAGUGGUUCGAAUCCACUAGGGCGCGCCA
rnacentral:tRNA from 1 species